rnacentral:tRNA from 1 species
UUAAUAGAAGCCAAACUAGAGGCCCAUCUUUGUUAAUGAUGUUACUGGAUAUUCCCUAUUAAU